rnacentral:rRNA from 1 species
GAUAUCAGGGGGCACCCUGAUCCAGCCAUGCCGCGUGUGUGAAGAAGGCCCUCGGGUUGUAAAGCACUUUCAGCGAGGAAGAAUGCUUGUCGGUUAAUACCCGGCAAGGGAGACAUCACUCGCAGAAGAAGCACCGGCUAACUCCGUGCCAGCAGCCGCGGUAAUACGGAGGGUGCGAGCGUUAAUCGGAAUUACUGGGCGUAAAGCGUGCGUAGGCGGCUUGAUAAGCCGGUUGUGAAAGCCCCGGGCUCAACCUGGGAACGGCAUCCGGAACUGUUAGGCUAGAGUGCAGGAGAGGAAGGUAGAAUUCCCGGUGUAGCGGUGAAAUGCGUAGAGAUCGGGAGGAAUACCAGUGGCGAAGGCGGCCUUCUGGACUGACACUGACGCUGAGGUACGAAAGCGUGGGUAGCAAACAGGAUUAGAUACCCUGGUAGUCCACGCCGUAAACGAUGUCGACUAGCCGUUGGGGUCCUCGAGACCUUUGUGGCGCAGUUAACGCACUAAGUCGACCGCCUGGGGAGUACGGCCGCAAGGUUAAAACUCAAAUGAAUUGACGGGGGCCCGCACAAGCGGUGGAGCAUGUGGUUUAAUUCGAUGCAACGCGAAGAACCUUACCUACCCUUGACAUCGUGCGAACUUUCCAGAGAUGGAUUGGUGCCUUCGGGAGCGCACAGACAGGUGCUGCAUGGCUGUCGUCAGCUCGUGUUGUGAAAUGUUGGGUUAAGUCCCGUAACGAGCGCAACCCUUGUCCCUAUUUGCCAGCGAUUCGGUCGGGAACUCUAGGGAGACUGCCGGUGACAAACCGGAGGAAGGUGGGGACGACGUCAAGUCAUCAUGGCCCUUACGGGUAGGGCUACACACGUGCUACAAUGGCCGGUACAAUGGGUUGCAAAGCGGCGA